rnacentral:ncRNA from 1 species
GUCUAAGUGCACAUGGACAUAACAGUGAAACUGCAAAUGGCUCAUUAAAUCAGUUAUGGUUCCUUUGAUCACUCCAAGCCUUACUUGGAUAACUGUGGUAAUUCUAGAGCUAAUUCAUGCCAACCUACUCUCCUCUGAUCAGACCUAAGUUGGAGUAUUGUGUCCAGUUCUGGGCAUUUCAAGAAAGAUUUGGAGAAGGUCCAGAGAAGAACAACAAGAAUGAUUAAAGGUCUAGAGAACAUGACCUAUGAAGGAAGACUGAAAGAACUGGGUUUGUUUAGGUUAGAAAAGAGAAGACUGAG